UACGGAGGGUGCAAACGUUGCUCGGAAUCAUUGGGCGUAAAGCGCGUGUAGGCGGCCCGAUAAGUCCGCUGUGAAAGUCCAGGGCUCAACCCUGGGAUGCCGGUGGAUACUGUCGGGCUCGAGUCCGGAAGAGGCGAGUGGAAUUCCUGGUGUAGCGGUGAAAUGCGCAGAUAUCAGGAGGAACACCUAUGGCGAAGGCAGCUCGCUGGGACGUUACUGACGCUGAGACGCGAAAGCGUGGGGAGCGAACAGG
rnacentral:rRNA from 1 species